rnacentral:lncRNA from 1 species
UGUAACUUGAUUCAAUCAAGGGAUUGAAUCAAGGGGUUAAGGUUUGUUGGUGAGCCAAAGGAAAAACCAACUUUGUAAGGUUGUGGUUGGUGAGCCUUUGGGAAAACCAACUAGGUUGAUUGUGAACCCGAAAAACAAUCGUUGUAAGGUUGUGGUUGGUGAGCCUUUGGAAAAACCAACUGGGUUGGAUUGUGAGCCCGUGAAAACAAUCGGUUGGUU